GUCUCCACGAGUGUGAGGACACUGCCCUGAGCCGCUCCGCAGGGAAGGAUCGGAUGACUGUGCCCGCACAUCAAACACCUCCAGAGAUCAGAUGAGAGAAGAAAACAAUGGCACAUUGGAUGGUAUGCAGAUGAGAGAGAGCAAGCAAUAUGAAAAUUCAGCACCCCGGAAAAGUGACAAAUCUUUCAGAUUACAUUUCACACAUGCUGUCCAGCAUGCCACGUUAGAGCAAUGGAGGCCCCUGCCAGCCACAGGAUCCACGGCUGCCUGCAAAUAUAUUGAUGAUCCACUUUAAAGGUACAGUGAUUUUCUGGCUUUCCCUGUGGUUGCCAACGUGUCUGCACUGUUUUCAUGGAGGGAGCGAAGGGCGGGGAAAGCAGAACUGAUAAAACUGGUCUUUCAUCUUUAAAAGAAUAAGGGC